UACGUAGGGGGCAAGCGUUGUCCGGAUUUAUUGGGCGUAAAGAGCGUGUAGGCGGCCAGACAGGUCCGUUGUGAAAACUCGAGGCUCAACCUCGAGAUGUCGAUGGAAACCGUCUGGCUAGAGUCCGGAAGAGGAGUGUGGAAUUCCUGGUGUAGCGGUGAAAUGCGCAGAUAUCAGGAAGAACACCUAUGGCGAAGGCAGCACUCUGGGACGGUACUGACGCUGAGACACGAAAGCGUGGGGAGCGAACAGG
rnacentral:rRNA from 1 species